AUGCCAUGAUGAGGGCAUUUGCGCAACAACUCCUUAAACCGCUCCCAUGCCUCAUAUAAAGAUUCUUCAUCAAUGAAAUGAAGUAAUCUCGUUGCAGAGCUU